ACGCUCGUAGCUCACUGGUAGAGCACUCCGCUGAUAACGGAGGGGAAGCUGGUUCAAUUCCAGUCGGGCGUA
rnacentral:tRNA from 1 species